AAAGAAAGAAAGAAAGAAAGAAAAAAGCAAAAAAAAAAGAAAGAGAGAAA
rnacentral:ribozyme from 11 species